rnacentral:snRNA from 1 species
ACUGGUUUGCAUGGCGAAAUUAUU